CUAGAGAGUCUGAUCAGCGACGUUUUGAGGCAAACAUAAAAAAGUGUUUUAGAGAUAUCAGAACAAAUAAACUGAAACACAAAGGAAACACUUAGAAGAGAGAAAGAAAAUAUGGACGAAGAAUUAGUCGAAAAGCACUCGAAUGAUUCAAAGUCGAAAGAGGAAAGGGGGACUGGAAAAGAAAUAAAUGAGCACGGAUCUAUGAAAACAUGGCUUGCCAUUAUCAUCAGUAUCAUUUUGAUAAUUGCAUGGUUUUGUUACGAUGAUAUCAUUGCUUGCUGUUAACCUCCGUAAGAGCUGCGGAGGCAGUUUACCAGAGGAUCAGAAAAGACUAAUUGGCAUGGUGUUCUAACAUUUGCGGAAAUUUAGCAGAAAUUGAAACUGAGGAGGAAAACACCUUCAUCCUCAGGUUCACUCUGAGUAAAGCUAACACUACCGAAGGUUCAAAUUUUACACUGUCGUUGACUUUAUUUCGUAAUCUAGAUGCAUUGUUUUUAUUUGUUUUCUUCGUAUGAAGUGUUGAUUUCUUGACAU